GACGAACGCUGGCGGCGUGCCUAAUACACGCAAGUCGAGCGAGAGAGUAACAAGAAGCUUCUUCGGGAGUGGAAAGGAACAAUCGAGCGGCGGAUGGGUGAGUAACGCGUGGGUAACCUACCCUAUAGUAAGGGAUACCAUUUGGAAACAGGAUGCUAACUAACCAAAUAAGAACUGACGACCGCAGUUAGGGUUUAAAAGUUUAAAAGGACGGACGAAAGCUGUCGACGUAAAGGAUCGGACCUGCGAUGCUA
rnacentral:rRNA from 1 species